CAAGACACUUUUUGUGUUUUAUUCUCCCCACAAACAGAACAAUCAACAAAAAUGUUUUUAAUAUCAUCAAGAAUUCGUCUCUUCACUCAUCACUUCCUUCCAUCCCAACCACCGUUAUCAUCAUAUUCAUCAAAAUCAUUUCUCUCUUUCAAAACAUUAACCUCUCACUCCGCCCAUGUCUCCGCCGUCAAAACACCCUUUUCCGACCCCACCAAAUCAACCCGACCCGUUCUCUUUUUCCCACCCGGAACCGACCCAGAUGAUUAUACCGACGACAUGAUUUUACCUAAUUCCAACAUCAUCCUCGGACCUUAUGCUGGUGACUCUAAAGUCAAACAAGUUGAGUUUGUUGGAAGUAGUAUUCGACCCAAAGAUUGCCCGAAAGAUGACCGACCCGAAUUCGCAAUGUUGGGUCGGUCUAAUGUUGGCAAGUCUUCUUUGAUUAAUUCUUUGGUUCGUAAGAAAGAAGUUGCUCUUACUUCCAAAAAACCAGGGAAGACACAGCUGAUUAAUCAUUUCUUGGUGAAUAAAAGUUGGUAUCUUGUUGAUUUGCCUGGUUAUGGUUUUGCUAACGCCCCGGAAGCUACAAGAAUGGAUUGGUCAUCAUUCACCAAAGGUUACUUUUUAAAUAGGGAAUCUUUGGUAAGCGUUCUGCUUCUUGUUGAUGCAAGUGUCCCACCUCAGAAGAUUGACCUUGACUGUGCCAAUUGGCUUGGACGAAAUAAUAUUCCGAUGACUAUUGUUUUCACGAAAUGUGAUAAAGUGAAGAACAGCAAGGGAAAACGACCUGAUGAAAAUAUAAAGAGUUUUCAAGAACUGAUUAAGGAAAAUUACAAGGUUCAUCCUCCAUGGAUAAUGACUAGCAGUGCCACUGGCUUGGGUAGGGAUGACCUCCUCCUGCAUAUGUCACAGCUCCGGAACUACUGGGAUAAUUAGGCUGCUAGAGAAGGUAAUAUGUAUAUUUUUUGUAUUCUUUUACUUUCUGGGAUUGAUUUAGCUUCAUCUUGGGUUCAUUUGGCUCGUAGUCUCAAAGACGUCGGUGAAAAUAGGAGUCUUGAUUUAUACAACAUAUGAGACUGACUUGGUCUGAUUCAGUUUUUGGGCUCUGGUUCAACUUUUCUUGUAUAUUCGGUAGCUUGGAGUGUACAAUGGUAUGAACUGGAUCAUGUCGGCCUUUGGCACUGAAAAUUGUGAGGUAGGACAGAUUAGCAUACUAUAUGGGUUGGCAACUUUUUAUUUUCAAAGUGGAGAUAUCUUUUUCUUUCAAAAACAUUAAUCAUACAUGUUAACUUCAAUGAUGAAUCUGGAUACACAAGUUAUCCACGUUUCAUAGCAAUUGAAUUUCUUAUUUAUUCUUCUCUA